rnacentral:rRNA from 1 species
CGAUAGGUAAUGUGAAUUGCAGAAUUCCGUGAAUCAUCGAAUCUUUGAACGCACCUUGCGCUCUAUGGCAAUCCGUAGAGCAUGCCUGUUUGAGUGCCAUGAAAUCUCCCACCCCAAGCGGCUUUUAAAUGAAACGGCUUGGCGGAUGGGGUCUGGAUGGGUGCCUCUGCCUGCGCUACCUAGCACAGGCUCGCCCGAAAUGCAUGAGCGCCUUGAGACACUUUGCAUCCGCCUCUCUGUUUGGGAGGAGGCGGCCAAGCAGUGUUUUUCUCCUGGCAUGGCAUGAUACGUCAUUUGCUAUGUCACCUAAAGGAGGAAUGUUUGGUUGUGUCUGCGUGUGCUUCAAACUUGCCUCUGUGGCACAUCCCAAUUUCACUUCUGGUCUCAAAUCAGGUAGGAUCACCCGCUGAACUUAAGCAUAUCAAUAAGCGGAGGAAA